rnacentral:rRNA from 1 species
UGGCCAUGUUGGUUAACAGAUCCUCAUUUGCUGGAUAAUUGGCGAUGAUCUUUAUCGGUUGUCGUCAGUUGCCAGAACGUUUACUUUGAGAAAAUUAGAGUGCUAAAAGCAGGCUCACGCCUAUAUAUAUUGCAUGGAAUAAUGAAAUAAGAUCUCGAUUUUAUUUCGUUGGUUUUAGAAAUUGAGAUAAUGAUUAAUAGGAUCAGAGGGGGGCGUACGUACUGUGGUGUGAGAGGUGAAAUUCUUGGAUCGCCACAGGACGAACAGCAGCGAAGGCGUUCGCCAAGAAUGUUUUCAUUAAUCAAGAACGAAAGUUUGAGGUUCGAAGACGAUUAGAUACCGUCCUAGUUCAAACCAUAAACGUUGCCAACUGUCCUUUAGAUGCGGUUAUUUAUAUGACUCAUCUGGCGGAUCUCGAGAAAUCUAAGUUUUUAGGUUCCGGGGGAAGUAUGGUUGCAAAGCUGAAACUUAAAAGAAUUGACGGAAGGACACACAAGAAGUGGAGCCUGUGGCCUAAUUUGACUCAACACGGGAAACCUUACUCGGCCAGGACACUUUUAGGAUUGACAGAUUGAGAGCUCUUUCUUGAUUAGGUGGGUGGUGGUGCAUGGUCGUUCGUAGUUCGUGGAGCGAUUUGUCUGAUUAAUUUCGAUAACGAACGAGACUCCGGCUUACUAAAUAGUCUAAAGUUCGAAGGGACUUUUCAAGACUUCUUAGCAGGAUAAAUGG